UAUCGUAUGUAAGCUAAAAGACGAACCCGUCUGUAACCUUACAUGCGCCGAUUUGUUUGUAAUGACGAACAUGAACGAGGAAGAAAAAAAUGAAUCAGACGGGGCUCCUAUGGAUAUUGAGGAGCAGCUGGUAUGCAGGACUCAUGAAGAGAUGAAGGAGGCAGGCAACAAACACUACAGUGAACAGAACUACAAAGAGGCCAUCUCAUGUUAUACUCAGGCAAUCAACUUGUGCCCGACCUGUGCUGCCUACUAUGGGAACCGAUCAGCCUGCUAUAUGAUGCUGAACAAGUACGCUGACGCCUUAAAUGAUGCCAGAGAAUCCAUCAAGCUGGACCCAAACUUUGUAAAAGGUUUCAUGCGAGAAGGAAAAUGUCACCUAUCGCUCGGCGAUCCAUCAUCGGCGAUGCGAGCCUAUAACAGAGUGCUACAGCUGGAGCCCAAAAAUCAGGCCGCUAAAAAAGAGCUUCAUUUAGCAGAAAGUCUACAGAAGUUUGAAGCCACCCUGGAUGCCGACUGUGAAAAAAUGGACUUUCGGAAAGCCCUGUUUUGUGUGGAACAGUGCCUGCAACUGGCAGGUCCGAGCAUGAAGUACAAAAUACGCAAAGCAGAGCUGCUAACGUUUCUCGGGCGAUACCAAGAGAGUCAAGAAAUAGCCAACGACGUCCUCCAACGUGAUGGGAUGAAUGCAGAUGCCCUGUUUGUGCGGGGAAUGUGUCUAUACUACCAGGACAACAUAGACAAGGCAUUCAGCCACUUCCAGCAGGUACUGCGUCUCGCGCCUGACCAUCAGAAGGCCAGAGAGACCUACAGGAAAGCAAAGCAGUUGAUAGCAAAGAAAGAAGAAGGCAACAAGGUGUUCCGUGCGGGAAACUUCGAGGAGGCGUACAAGAUUUACACAGAGGCGCUUGAGAUCGACCCGAACAACAAGUUCACCAACUCAAAACUGUAUUGCAAUAGGGCCACUGUCUGUACUAAGAUUGGGAAGAAUGAGCAGUCAGUGGAAGACUGUACGAAGGCGAUAGAACUGGACGAUACAUAUCUCAAAGCUUACAUGAGACGAGCAAAAAGUUACAUGGACAUGGAACAGUAUGAGGAAGCUGUCAGGGACUACGAGAAAAUAUUACAGCUUGACAAAACUAGAGAGAACAAACGCCUGCUGCAAGAGGCCAAGUUGGAAUUGAAAAAGAGCAAGAGAAAAGACUACUACAAGAUUUUGGGCGUGUCGAAAACUGCCACAGACGAUGAAAUCAAGAAGGCCUACAGAAAACGAGCUCUCUCACACCAUCCAGAUCGCCACUCCCACGAUACGGUGGAGGUACAGAAGGAGGAGGAGAUGAAGUUCAAGGAGGUCGGGGAGGCCUACUCCGUGUUGUCGGAUCAGAAGAAACGGACGCGCUACGACCAGGGUCAUGACAUGGAAGAUCUCGAUGGCUUCGGAGGGGGCGGUUUCAACAAUAUCGACCCCAACCUUAUAUUCCAAUCCUUUUUCGGCGGUGGUGGUGGCGGACAUCAUUUCAACUUUGGUGGCGGCGGUGGUGGCAGUGGGGGCUUUCCGGGUGGUUUUUCCUUCCAGUUCGGAUAACAUCACCCUCGGGAAACGCUGUGGUGUUUUUAGAUCUUGACCACGCUACUGAUAAAAUUCUGCAAAUUGUUAGAACCUUACUGUGAUCCUGAACACGUAUAGGAAACAUAUUAAAAGAACAUUCUAUAUUUGACGCUGAUUUGGGGUAUUUGUUGUACUUAAUCAGGGGUGUGAUUUAUCCGCAGAUUUUUGCACAUCCAAUUGUGCCAAGGGUCAUUACUGAUAUAUAUGUAAAUUUUGUAUUUUAACAAUGUGUGGGCCGGGUUGGAGGGGGGGUCAAAAAAGCAAAAGUAAAAUAUGGAGCAAAAGUUAAAGAUUGCCAGCAUAAAUCACAGUGAUCGGGAAAAAAAUUGACAUGUACUAUUAGUUACACUUUGAGUAACUGAUGGUGUAUGGGAUAUACACCCUUAGUAAUUUCCCAUACACCCAUCAGUUACUAACUGUAUAAAGAUUAUAUCUCAACCGACUAAUGGAUUACUCUGGGUGUAUGGAAAUUACUAGGGGUGUAUGGAUAAUACUCCAUGGGAACAUGACCGCUCUAAGCCAAUCGGAUUAGGUCAUUUUUUUAGGAGGUACAUUAUGGAAUUCACCCCUAAUGAAAACUGUUAAAUUUGCAACCUUUAAUAGCUAGUAGUUGAAGUUAAAAAUGGUUUUAAGAAAUAAUUAUUGUUGUAAAUUUCAAUUAAGGGUUUAUUUAUAUCAGAUUUUAACGGUUUGUCCAAAAUUAGUCAGCACAAUUUUCCUCCCCUGGGAAUUCUCCUCCAUCACACCCCUGCUUAAUGUAAACGUAACAAAUUAAUGGAAAAACGAAAUCGUGUUCUGCAUAGAUGAACAAUGUUAGAACAUGUUUCAUUUUAAGCUUGUCCCACUCGGAGGUAAAGUGAAAAUGGGUAUGUGCAAACAGCAUAAAACCAGAACAGCUUGUGAUUCACUGGCAGUCUGUUCAGGUUUUAUGCUGUUUGCUGCUCAUGAGUAUCUAAGGGUUAGAAAUGAAACCAUUAAGAAAGGUAUUAAUUAAAUUAAACUUUUUAAGGGACUACAAACAUGUCGAAAUACGUAUCUAAGUAGUAAAGAGUUAAUAAAUAUGCAAAGAAAUCCUUUUGAAUUAAAAGCUAAAUAGGUUUGAGAAAAGAUGUCUCUUAAAAUCAUUUUUUUGAUCCCAUGUAAAAUUGAUUUUCAAUGUCAAUCAAAGUUUUGUUAACAUGGGAUAUUUGAAAAUGAUAUUUGCAGUUCAUAUUCGCUCCACAUUUUGUGCAGUGCAUUUACUUUUGAGGUUUACGUGUGAAGAAAGCAUGAUGGAACGAUGGAGAAAAAAAUGGAAAUUAAAUUAAUCAACUGUAAUGUUAAUUUUAAGGUUCUUAAGUAAAAAAUAUUUAUGUUUACUUAAGUGAGAAUUGAUAUAUUUGUUUUAUACUUAAAGCCAUCAAUUCUUUUUAAGCAAAAAAAAAAUCAAGUAACAAUUCCGUAAAAAAUUAGCAGAAUGCUACUUAAAUACAUUUUAUUGUUGCCAAUAUCAAAAACAAACUUAAAUUUCUCACUCAAAUUUUGUCAAAUGUGACGUAAAUCUACAGUAUUGUGUGCAGAUACCAAUAUUCGAGUCAUAUAUUCAAUUUUAUUAUUAAUGAAGCUUUUCCAACAUGGCGGCAGAUGGUAAAAUGUGUCGCUUUGCACUUUAUAUUUUUAGGCUUUAAAUUCAAUUCUCGUCUUUGCAAUUAUUCAGAGAAAAAGGUAAAAACAUUUAUUUCUCUAGGAGGCACCCGCUAUGCGAUGCUCUUGUUUAUACAUAACAAUCAAUUAAGAAAAAAGGCAAUCUGUACUAAUACAACUUGUGUAUAUAAUUUAUACAUGUAUUAUAAUGUACAAAAGUUUUUGUUUUGUUUCUCUAUACUUGUCAUCAUAAUUUUGUUAAAAAACAUCCAUGCAUGAUCCUUGAGAACAAGUGAUGAUGAAACAAUGUAUCUUUGUUGUUACUGUUGUGGUGUUAUAAUAUCUUAAGCAGCAAUGUUUGAUGACAAGCUAUUCUUGUCGUGUUGCACAAUCUUUUAUCAUAUUGAUACUGCUUUGAAACUGUAAGCUGUGAAUACUUGAGUAAAUGUGUGUAAAUAUGUCUGAAAAGCUUGAAUAAUGUUUUCUGUUUAUCUGCAAUUUUGCAUGAAAGAUGAUGUUGUAUACAUGGAUAUAAGUUGUUUUUUUAUCAAAACUUGAAAUGCAUAGAAACCCCACAUUACAAUAUCUGUAAUAAUUGUUGUGAAGGAUUUUGUUGUUUUGGUAUAAAUAUUGAUAAUAAAUUAUUUGAUGGUCGCAUGUUA